rnacentral:rRNA from 1 species
CUACGGGGUGCAGCAGUGGGGAAUAUUGCACAAUGGGCGCAAGCCUGAUGCAGCCAUGCCGCGUGUAUGAAGAAGGCCUUCGGGUUGUAAAGUACUUUCAGCGGGGAGGAAGGGAGUAAAGUUAAUACCUUUGCUCAUUGACGUUACCCGCAGAAGAAGCACCGGCUAACUCCGUGCCAGCAGCCGCGGUAAUACGGAGGGUGCAAGCGUUAAUCGGAAUUACUGGGCGUAAAGCGCACGCAGGCGGUUUGUUAAGUCAGAUGUGAAAUCCCCGGGCUCAACCUGGGAACUGCAUUGGAUACGGGCAAGCAUGAGUCUCGUAGAGGGGGGUAGAAUUCCAGGUGUAGCGGUGAAAUGCGUAGAGAUCUGGAGGAAUACCGGUGGCGAAGGCGGCCCCCUGGACGAAGACUGACGCUCAGGUGCGAAAGCGUGGGGAGCAAACAGGAUUAGAUACCCGGGUAGUC